rnacentral:rRNA from 1 species
UACAGAGGUCUCAAGCGUUGUUCGGAUUCAUUGGGCGUAAAGGGUGCGUAGGCGGCGCGGUAAGUCGGGUGUGAAAUCUCGGAGCUUAACUCCGAAACUGCAUUCGAUACUGCCGUGCUUGAGGACUGGAGAGGAGACUGGAAUUUACGGUGUAGCGGUGAAAUGCGUAGAUAUCGUAAGGAAGACCAGUGGCGAAGGGCGGGUCUCUGGGCCGAUACUGGACGCUGAGGAGCGAAAGCGUGGGAGCGAA